UCCAGACUCCUACGGGAGGCAGCAGUGGGGAAUAUUGCACAAUGGGGGAAACCCUGAUGCAGCAACGCCGCGUGGGUGAAGAAGUAUUUCGGUAUGUAAAGCCCUAUCAGCAGGGAAGAGAAUGACGGUACCUGACUAAGAAGCCCCGGCUAACUACGUGCCAGCAGCCGAGGUAAUACGUAGGGGGCAAGCGUUAUCCGGAUUUACUGGGUGUAAAGGGAGCGUAGACGGUUGUGCAAGUCUGAAGUGAAAGCCCGCGGCUCAACUGCGGAACGGCUUUGGAAACUGUGUAGCUGGAGUGCUGGAGAGGUAAGCGGAAUUCCUGGUGUAGCGGUGAAAUGCGUAGAGAUCAGGAGGAACACCGGCGGCGAAGGCGGCUUACUGGACAGUAACUGACGUUGAGGCUCGAAAGCGUGGGGAGCAAACAGGAUUAGAUACCCCAGUA
rnacentral:rRNA from 1 species